GCAAGGAUGAACACUAGAACUCUUCAGUUUCAGAUGAUCACAUUAAUUCAAGUAGACAGAAAGACCUCUUCUUUACAAGAAGACUAUGGGAGGUAAAUAGGUUGUGUGGGAACUGUUAAAUCAUGGCCUGAACCUCUGAUUUACCACCUGAGAUGAGCAGAGUUAUCUGUGGGAGCACAAGUGAAAGCAGUUCACCUGUGUGAACAGAGGGGAUGGAGCCUGGCUGCACCUCUCCUAGACCCCAUUUAAGGGCUGAGUGCCACUGGAGUUUCUGGAGAUUGCUUCUCUUGAAGUUUUCCCUGCAAGCCUACACAGUGCAGUAAAAUGAUGUUCAUUCAGGACUGAAUGUGGCCAUGGCUACUGAUGAACAUUCUGGGAAUAUCUUCAUCCUGUCAUCUCUCUGCUGCUCUAUGGGGAAAGCAGGCUGACAUGGUUAUUAAUCUGGCAGCUGUGUUGUGUGCACAUGGGAAGCAGGUGUGGAUGUCUUUUCUCCUCUGUGGAAUACUUGAAAUUCUAAAGUCAAGUACUAUAGGUCUUGGAGAACAGAAGAGGGUGCCUGAAGACUGGAGAAUAGCCAGUGUCACUACAGAAAGAGCAAGAAGGAGGUUCUGGGAAACUACAGGACAGUCAGUCUCACCUCUGUUCCUGGGAAAGUGACACAACAGCUCGUUCUGAAUGCUAUCUCAAAGCAAUUGGAAGAAAAGGUUAUGAGGAAUAGUCAACAUGGAUUCAUCAAGGGGAAAUCAGGCUCAACCAACAUUAUAGCCUUCUAUGAUGGCAUCACUGGCUGGGUAGAUGAGAGGAAAGCAGCGGAUGUUGUCUAUGUUGACUUCAGCAAGGCUUUUGAUAUUGUCUCUUGCAUUGUUCUGAUAACAAAGCUGAGAAAGUGUGGGAUAGAUGAGUAGACAGUGAGGUGGCUUGAGAACUGGCUGACUGGUUGAGCUCAGAGGGUGGUGAUCAGUGGUGCAGAGUCCAGUUGGAGACCUGUGACUAGCAGGUCAGUGACUAGCUCUCAGGUCAGUGACAAGUAACAUUAAAGACAUUGAUCUAUAUUUUGAGUAUGUGCAGUGUGCUGAAUAUAGCCUUACAGCACCUUUCAUCCUAAGAAUCAUUCAGAUCUUCUCAGAGAGGAGUGCCCUUAAAGCAGCGAUGUUGAGAGUAUGUUGGUUUUGUACAGGCUUACGAUGUAGUGGCCUGCCGAAUAGUUAUUGGGAAGUGUUACUUUUUGAAAUGUAGCUUGGUGUCCUGCUGUGCUCUUGAAAUGUAACUGAUGAGUUACUGCUGUGGUGAUGCAUAUAGAUACUUCAUUCAAUCACUGUGAUUACUUUAUGAAGUCCUUUAGACUUAUCUGGUAAACAAUAAAAAUCAAUGAAAUUACUUA